ACGGCACCCUGGGCACGGGGGUCCCUGACCCCACUGCCAGCCCCCAAGGAGCGUGGUGGGGUGCCCGUGGGAAGGAGGAAGGCGAGGGGAAAGCUGCAGCCCCCUGCGCUCCCCCCAGCUGGAGGGAGGAAACCGGGCAGGAAACCUGCGACAAGGUCACCUCGGGGCUGGGCUGGGGGCGGCGGGGGGCCCACAUCGCUGCCCCCAUCCCUGCGCCCCCCGAAAGCCCCUGAAAGCCCCCUCUGCUCCUCUCCCGGGGCCAGGCACCCCCCCGGUGUCCAGGCUCUGCCCAGCCCCCUCGGGCCGGAGCCACCCCAUGGGAUAGGGACGGGGAGUCCCGGUACCGGGAAGGGGGGAGGAAAACAGCCCCUACCGCCCCCAGCCCGGCCGGUGCCCCCCACCCUUCGCGGUCCCCCCACGUCCCCGACCGGUGCCGGCCCCAAACUCGCCCUGAGCCUCCCCAACUUUGAGAGAGCCCCCGGGUGGACGGCUCCCGGUGCCGGUGCCGGUGCCGGCCCCAUUUGCGCUCCCGGUGCCGGUCCCGUUUGCGCUCCCGGUGCCGGUUCCCGGGUCCAUCCCGGUACCGGUGCUGCCCAGCCCCGCGGGUUUCACCCCCUCCCGGCCCCUCUCACCGGCUCCAGCGCCCCGGUGUCCCGGCCGCUCCGCUCCGCUCCGUGCCGAGCCCCGAGCCCGCAGCCCCGUGCGCGCCUGCCCGGCCCGGCCCGGCCCCUCCCCGAGGUGCGCCGCUGCCGGGGGGGCGCGCCCGGGACCUGCCCCAGCGCACCGGGCUGGGGAGGGGGGCACCCAGCGGGGGCUGCCCCAAAACGGAGGGGACAGAACCGGGGCGAGGGGGGGGAGCUGGGUGGGAGCGAGUCGGGAGCCCCCCCUCCGAGCACCGGUGCGAUGAGCGUGCGGGUGCUCAACACCCGGGGGCUCCUUGGGGUGACGGGGACAGAAGCGGGGUGGCCUCAGCGAUUGGGGGGGCUCCGCACCGGGUGCUCGCUGCGGUGCUGA
rnacentral:lncRNA from 1 species